AAAAUCCNUCGACUUUAGAAAUCGNGAGGGUUCAAGUCCCUCUAUCCCCA
rnacentral:tRNA from 1 species